UACGAGGGGUGCAAGCGUUGUUCGGAAUCACUGGGCGUAAAGGGAGCGUAGGCGGAGAAGCAAGCGGACUGUACAAUACCGGGGCCCAACCCCGGACCUGCAGUUCGGACUGCUUCUCUUGGAUAGUUCAGGGGCAGGCGGAAUUCCUGGUGUAGCGGUGGAAUGCGUAGAGAUCAGGAAGAACACCGAUGGCGAAGGCAGCCUGCUGGGGACUUUAUCGACGCUGAGGCUCGAAAGCGCGGGUA
rnacentral:rRNA from 1 species